AUUGAACGCUGGCGGCAUGCCUUACACAUGCAAGUCGAACGGCAGCACGGGUGCUUGCACCUGGUGGCGAGUGGCGAACGGGUGAGUAAUACGUCGGAACGUACCUUAUCGUGGGGGAUAACGCAGCGAAAGCUGUGCUAAUACCGCAUACGCCCUGAGGGGGAAAGCGGGGGAUCGCAAGACCUCGCGCGAUUAGAGCGGCCGAUGCCUGAUUAGCUUGUUGGUGGGGUAAAAGCCCACCAAGGCGACGAUCAGUAGCUGGUCUGAGAGGACGAUCAACCACACUGGGACUGAGACACGGCCCAGACUCCUACGGGAGGCAGCAGUGGGGAAUUUUGGACAAUGGGGGCAACCCUGAUCCAGCAAUGCCGCGUGAGUGAAGAAGGCCUUCGGGUUGUAAAGCUCUUUUGUCAGGGAAGAAACACCGGCUCUAACACAGUCUGGGAAUGACGGUACCUGAAGAAUAAGCACCGGCUAACUACGUGCCAGCCGCCGCCGUAA
rnacentral:rRNA from 1 species